rnacentral:tRNA from 1 species
GAAGCGGUAGUUUAAGCGGAAAAACGAUCCCGACAAGGAGGUUUACAGGUUCAAAUCCUGUCUGCUCUG